rnacentral:lncRNA from 1 species
UUAUUUUGGGUGUGUCUGUGAGGCUGUUUCCAGAGAGAUUAGCAUUUGAAUUGAUAGAAUGAGUCAAGAUUGCCCUGACCAAUGCAGUUGGGUAUCAUCCAAUCCUUUGAGGCCCCACCAGAAGCCAAGAAGAAGGAAGGGAGAAUUUGUCCCCUCUGCCUGACUGCUUGAGCUGAACAUUGAUCUCCUCCUCCUCUUGGCACUUCUGGUUCUCAGGCCUCAGACACAGACUGGAAUCUACACCAUCUGUGGACCUUUCCUGGGCCUCCAGCUUGCGGACAGCAGGUCUGCAAAAUCAGAUCAGCAGAUCUGUGGAACCAUACAGCCUCUGCCAUCAUGAGACCACAAUGUGGGGACACAUUAACAGAAGCCAAACACCACACAAGCAAUGAAACAAGAAGGACACACGUCAUCUGCUAAAAAUGUGUGUGUGUGUGUGUGUGUGUAACAUCAGGGAUCAACAAUGCAUGAGUUUGCGAAGACCAGAUGAUGAGACCCAGCUUACAAGUCUCUCUCUGGCUUAGAAGGAUCACUGCAAUGCGAUGCCACUGUCUUCCUUCAGGAUGCACCCACGUGCUGAGGGAUGUGUGCAUCCACCCAUUUAGGAGGCUAUAAUCAAAGCUGGUGGUCAGAGCUGGUGUUGGACCUUCCUACUGCCAAGUAUGAGUUGAUUAAUAGCAUGAAUUUUUACUCCACCUUGUGGUCUUCUGAUUUUUCCCCACAUAUCAGUACCUUGAAUUUACAGUACGAUUAGUAGACUUUGAACAA